rnacentral:sRNA from 1 species
UUCUUAAAACAGGGAUUAGCGAUUCGCAUCCUCUUCUGUCUUUCUUAGUACGUUUGUGUUAUAGCUUCAUUUCGAAUGACUGGAUUGUCCGAAUUACUCAUGUGUAUAGGGAAGCUAAUCGUCUCGCAGAUGAAUUAGCGAAUCAUGCUUUUUUGUUACUUUUGGGGUUUCAUAGUAUUCUUCUUAGGCUUGAUUUUGCUACUUCGAUUAUUUUUGAGGAUGAUAGUGUUGUUACGCGCCCACGGAAUAUUCGUGUGUAAUUUUUUUUUUU